UACGGAGGGUGCGAGCGUUAAUCGGAAUUACUGGGCGUAAAGCGUACGUAGGCGGUUUGAUAAGCGAGGUGUGAAAUCCCGGGGCUCAACCUCGGAACUGCACUUCGAACUGUCAGGCUAGAGUAUUGUAGAGGGUGGUGGAAUUUCCAGUGUAGCGGUGAAAUGCGUAGAGAUUGGAAGGAACAUCAGUGGCGAAGGCGGCCACCUGGACAAAUACUGACGCUGAGGUACGAAAGCGUGGGGAGCGAACAGG
rnacentral:rRNA from 1 species